rnacentral:rRNA from 1 species
CACGUAGGGCGCGAGCGUUGUCCGGAAUUAUUGGGCGUAAAGAGCUCGUAGGCGGCCUGUUGCGUCCGCUGUGAAAGCCCGGGGCUUAACCCCGGGUCGGCAGUGGAUACGGGCAGGCUAGAGGUAGGUAGGGGAGAAUGGAAUUCCCGGUGUAGCGGUGAAAUGCGCAGAUAUCGGGAGGAACACCGGUGGCGAAGGCGGUUCUCUGGGCCUUACCUGACGCUGAGGAGCGAAAUCGUGGGGACCGAACAGU